rnacentral:lncRNA from 1 species
AGUGGUGAUAACAACAGUGGUGAUAACGUUAACAAUUAUGAUAGCAGUAGCAACAACAAUAACAGUUGCGCAACAGAAACCAAGAAAGAAAGGCACACUCCUAUAAACCCUGAAGUAAAAAAAAACACCCACGCUGAAUUCGAUUUAAACAAUAUAGCUUUUUUUGGCAUACAUUUACAUGAUUUUAAUUUCGAUUGUGAAGAAACAUUUAAUGAAGAAUUUAAGAAAUAUGUAAAUUUGUAUACCAUUGAAAAAAAAAGUAAUAAUUAUAUUUAUUUAAAAAAAAAAAUCAAAAAUAAAACGGAUCAGCAAUUGAUAGAAGCCAUUAAAAGAAACAUUACACACAUUAUAAACGUUUUAAGAACAUUAAGAAAUAAGGAAGUAUGUUUUAUAUCUCCGCGAAAUUAUUAUGAUGACGUGUCGAAAAAAACAAGAAAUCAUAAAAAAAAACGUAAAAAUGAAAAAACAAACUCAAAUAAUACAAAAACAAAUUCAAAUAAUACAAAAACAAACUCAGGUAAUACAAGAACAAACUCAGGUAAUACAAAAACAAACUCAGAGGAUACAAAAACAAACUCAGAGGAUACAAAAACGUCUAUGGUUAUAAACAGUGUACAUGAUACAUUUGUACCUUUCGAAAUGGAAAAUUUAAUUUCUAAACUAAUACAUUAUAAUAUUAGGGAUAAAGAAAUAAUAACAAAAAAUAAGAAGAAAUUAUAUAAGCAACAGUAUGAACAUGCUAGAGUUCCUACUACUAUAAAAAAUGAUAACAAUGGUAAUAAAAUAAAUGAAAAUUGUGAAGACUGUAAUCAUGAUUAUGAUUACGAUUAUGACAACGAUUAUGAUCACGACUAUGAUCACAUUAGUAAUAAAAAUGGACAGUUAGGUUUGGAAACAAAUGAAAAAAUUAACGAUGAUAAAUAUAUUGCUUGUGAUAACGAACCCAUGAAAAAGAAACAAUGCGAACAGAAUCCAAUUGGGGUGAAUACACGAAUAGCAUUAAAUUUAAAUAUAAAUGUGAAUGAUAGUAUAGACAAAAGCGUGGAUGCAGAUAUAGAGGUAGGUGUUACAGGUACUGAAAUGGGUAAAGUAACAACUACCGAAUAUAAUGAUAACCUUUACGAUUCAUAUAAAGAAAUAGGUGAACCAAAUUCGAAUAUAAUAGGUACAACAACUUCGAACGCAUUAAAAUUACAGCAAAUGUACAGAAGCGAUAAAAAAAAAAAAGAAGACAGUUUUUCACAUAAUAGUUACAAUUAUGGAGAUAACCAAAUAAAUGAAAAAAAUAAAAUAAAAAAAGAGAGGAAUGUAACAGAAAAUCAUUUGAACAAUGGAAAGGAAAACAUAAAAGAUAUGAAUAGCACAACAGACAUAACUGUCAAAAAUGACACAAAUGGCAUAAAUAAUAUGAAACAUAUUAACAAUGUAAGAAGUGUUAAAGCUAAUUGGAAAGAAAAAAGCGACCUCGAUGUUUUGAAAAUAUACAUUCAACAUAAGUCUAUAGAUAAGAUAUGUUAUUUUGUAAAUAGUAGGUACAUCGACAUUUCUUUUAACAUGUUUAAAGUGUUAAAAGGUGAAAAGAAAUUAAUAUAUAGUACCUAUAUGAAUAAAGAAAAAGAAAAAAAGUUUGAAAACGGUGAUGGUUGUAAUAUCGGUAUUGGUAAUGAUGUUGUUAGUAGUAGUAAUAUUAGUAAUAAUAAUGAUGGUAGUAAUAAUAAUAAUAAUAAUAAUAAUAAUAAUAAUGGUAAUAAUAAUAAUGGUAGUAAUAAUAAUGGUAGUAAUAAUAAUGGUAGUAAUAUUAAUGGUAGUAAUAUUAAUGGUAGUAAUAGCAAUUUGAGCAAUAUGUACAAACAGGAAGGUGGUAUAAUAAGUGGUAACGAAACUGAAUAUAGUGAAACUGAUAGUGUGGUUGAGAUAGAAUAUGAAAAUGACACACAAACCGAAACGGAUAUAGAACAAGAACGAGAGUGCGAAACUGUUACUACGAACUUAAGCAAUAAUUACACAGCAAGAAACAAUAAAACUGUGAUUAUAAAUAAUAUAAUUGUCAACGAUAUGCUUGUCAACGAUAUGCUUGUCAACGAUAUGCUUGUCAACGAUAUAAUUGUCAACGAUAUAAUUGACAAGAAUGAUAAACUUUUAAAUGAUAUUGUGUCGAAUAGUAACAACAUCAAAAAUAAAUUAAAAAUAAUUCUACUAGACAACGAUUAUAAUAUAUAUUUAAUUGAAUUUUUUUUAAAGCUUUUUUUAAGAAUAA